rnacentral:rRNA from 1 species
GACAGAGGGUGCGAACGUUGUUCGGAAUUACUGGGCGUAAAGCGCAUGUAGGCGGCAGCGCAAGUCGGGCGUGAAAUCCCACGGCUCAACCGUGGAAGUGCACUCGAAACUGCGCAGCUAGAGUCCUGGAGAGGAAGGUGGAAUGCUUGGUGUAGAGGUGAAAUUCGUAGAUAUUCGGAAGAACACCAGUGGCGAAGGCGACUGACUGGACAAGUAUUGACGCUGAGGUGCGAAAGCGUGGGGAGCAAACAGG